rnacentral:rRNA from 1 species
GUGUCAGCAGCCGCGGUAAUACGGAGGGUGCGAGCGUUAAUCGGAAUUACUGGGCGUAAAGCGCACGUAGGCGGCUACAUAAGUUGGAGGUGAAAUCCCCGGGCUCAACCUGGGAACUGCUUUCAAAACUGUGUGGCUAGAGUACGGUAGAGGUGAGUGGAAUUUCCUGUGUAGCGGUGAAAUGCGUAGAUAUAGGAAGGAACAUCAGUGGCGAAGGCGACUCACUGGACUGAUACUGACGCUGAGGUGCGAAAGCGUGGGGAGCAAACAGGAUUAGAUACCCGGGUAGUCC